UCUGCACCUGCUGCUGGAUGGUGACUGGCUGCACCUGGGAGGAUGUCACUAGGCUUUGGACUUGAGGCUGAAGGACUUGGGAGAAGAGGAGGGAAAAGCACACGUCUGAACUGCAG